GACAGAGGGUGCAACCGUUGUUCGGAAUUACUGGGCGUAAAGCGCGUGUAGGCGGCUAUGUAAGUCGGGCGUGAAAUCCCACGGCUCAACCGUGGAAGUGCACCCGAAACUGCGUAGCUAGAGUCCUGGAGAGGAAGGUGGAAUGCUUGGUGUAGAGGUGAAAUUCGUAGAUAUCGAGCGGAACACCGGUGGCGAAGGCGGCCUUCUGGACAGUGACUGACGCUGAGACGCGAAAGCGUGGGGAGCAAACAGG
rnacentral:rRNA from 1 species